AACUAGAUAAGAUUUGUAUAUAAUUCAGCGUUUGAAUUAAUUAUCCUUUAUAAACCUUAUUUUUCAAUUAUAUUUUAUAUAGAUAAAUUAAAAAAAAUACCAUUAAAUUUAAGUAUUAUCGAUUUUUAUUUAUUAAAUUAUACAAUUUAUAGUUAUUUUGUUUAAAAUAUACUUUUAUAAGUGAUUUCACAAGUAAAAAAAGAAAAUUUUCAAUGAUAUUAGCAAUGGCUAAUGUACAAAUUGAUGAUGAUAUUUAUGAUGGAUAUAAUGAUUAUCCAUCAAUAUAUAGUAUUAAAGAUUUUGAACAAGAUGAAUUAUUCCAAGAAACACUCAAUACAAGUUAUGCAAAAAGAUUAAUUUUCACACCAAAAGUGCCAGGAAGUGCUAUGCGUUUAGGUACAUCAACAGGAUUUCAUAGAAGUGGUACUAGUGUAUCUAUGCGUUCUAUUACUAGUGGAUUUAGGCCAAUGACUGCAGUCAGAGGUGCUGGUUAUACUAGUAGUACUCGUCAAACAUUUGAUCCAUUAAAUAUGAGUAGUUCUGCUAAAGGUCCUGCACCACCUUUAGAAAAUGGAAAGGAUGAUACGUAAGAUUACCUGAAGAAAAGAUAAAAGUAGCUGAAAAAAAAAUUAUGGAUUUAAUUGAAAGUUCAGUAGAAGCAGCAUAUGAAAAUAAUAUAAGAGUAGCUUUAGAAAGAGCAAGAGAAGCAUCUUCAAGAGAAAGAACUCUCAUUAGAUUACAAGAACAAGCUGGACUUAGUGAUAAUCAUAAUGUAGAUUUAACAUUUGCUGUCAUUUUCAAUUUAGCAACUCAAUAUACUAACAAUAAUAUGUUUACUGAAGCUAUAGCAACUUAUCAAGCAAUAACAAGAAAUAGAAUGUUCAGUAAUAGUGCCAGAUUAAAAGUAAAUAUGGGAAAUAUAUAUGUUAAAAUGGGACAAUUAUCUCAAGCAAUUAAAAUGUACAGAAUGGCAUUUGAUCAAGCUCCAGCAGCUCAUAAAGAUUUAAGAAUAAAAAUAAUGCAUAACAUUGGAAUGCUAUUUGUACAAAUGGGUCGUUUAGAAGAAGCAGCUAAUAGUUUUGAAUGGGUUAUGAAAGAAAGACCUGAAUUUAAAGCAGGCUUGCAUGCUGUUUUAUGCCAUUUUGCAUUGUCUCAUAGGGAUAAAAUGAAAAGAUCAUUUUUAGAAUUGUUAGAGGUUCAGCUUAACAUAGAUCAGGAGGACAGAUAUAAUAUAAGUACAGAUGAUGUCGCUUUUAAUAUAUUGAAUGAAAUUUUAAAAAAUGAUGAUUUAUCUAAGUUAGAGAAAGAAUUAAAAUCAGAAGCAGAAAGAACUAUUCUUUGUGCUGCAAAACUUAUAGCACCCGUAAUUGAAGAUACUCUUACAGCUGGCUUUGCUUGGUGUGUAGAUACUAUAAAAUCUUCAGCUUAUGGUCUAUUAGCUGCUGAUUUAGAAAUAAAUAAAGCUAUGGUAUUUUUACAUAAUCGGGAUACCCAGUUGGCUAUUGAUACCUUGAAAAUAUUUGAAAAUCGUGAAAGUAAAGCUAAUAGUUCAGCUGCAACUAUGCUUUCUUUUAUUUAUUUUCUCCAAGGAGAUUAUGAUCAGGCGGAAAAGUGCGGAGAAAUUGCUCGAAAUGCAGAUAGUUAUAAUGCAGCAGCUUAUGUUAAUUUAUCAGCAUGUGCAAUCAAAAAGGGUGAAUUAAAUAUUGCUAGAGAACUUCUUUUAUGUGCAUUAGAUACAGAUGCUAGUCAUAUACAAGCUCUUUAUAAUUUAGGAUUAGUAUAUAAAAAACAAAAUAUGUAUGAAGAAGCAUUGGAAUGUUUUUGGAAAGUUCGUAAUAUUGUUAGACAUGAUCCACAAACAGUAUAUCAAAUUGGUCAGUUAUAUCAACUUAUGGACGACAUAGAUCAAGCAACAGAUUGGUAUAAUCAAUUACUUGGUAUAAUACCGUGUGAUCCUGGAGUUCUACAAAAAAUAGGUGAAAUGUAUGAUGCUGCUGGAGAUAAACAACAAGCAUAUCAAUUUUAUAGUGAUUCUUAUAGAUUCUUUCCCGCUAAUUUUGAAGUAAUCGAUUGGCUUGGAUCAUAUUUCGUAUCAAUGCAAAUUGCUGAAAAAGCACUAGUUUAUUUCAAAAAAGCAGUCGAACUUGCUCCCGAUGAACCGAGAUGGCGAUUACUUGUUGCAGCAUGUUUAAGACGAAUUGGUCAAUUUCAUAAAGCUGUUUUAGAAUAUCAAGAUAUUCAUAAUAAGUUUCCUGAAAAUAUUGAAUGUUUAAAAUUCUUAGUUCGUUUAUGUAGUGAUCUUGGCUUAAAAGAAGCGCAAUUAUACGCAACAGAAUUAAAGCGUGCAGAGAAAGCGAAAGAAUUAAAAGACAAACAAAUAUCAGCAAGACCAGGGUCAAGAAGGAGUAAUAGUGGAGCAUCAUCACGAACUGGUUCUGGAAUGAGUGUAAUCUCAGAUCAUAGAUCAAGUCCCAUUUUUAAUAGAAAAGAAAAUCAAAGUUUAAGUAGUGCUGAUAUCAUUCGUUCUAAUCGAAUUUCUGCAAUUGAAAAUAUUACGGAAUCUACAAUUGAUAUGACUGAUCAAACAGGAUCAUCAUUCGAAGAAGGUGUCGUUAGAAAUGUGAUGGUCAAGAUGGUCUCUGUGACGAAUAUGCGUAUUGCACUGUGGAUUAGAUUCAUCACGUCAGGUCAAGUGGCUAAAUUAUCCUGGUUGACGCUUUGCACCUUCCAAUUGAUUUUAAUGGAGCUUCGUUCGAAGCAACUUUGCUGACUCGAAGAAUAUUCUAGUGACAUUUCAUGGUGUCUUUUUCUUUUAGUAAUCGAUUGUGAAAAAUCUAUCGCAAUUAUCGAAUCUGUACGAUUAUCGAUUACAUUAUCCUGGUCGAUUCAUCGAUUCAAAAUCGAUUCAUCAAAUUCUAAUUCUCGAAAACAUUGAUAUAUGAGAGACAGGAAUAUAUCGUUCGCCGAAUCUCGCUUGUUAAAUGGGUUUUUCAACUUUUAUAUUCUUAAUAUUGAAUUUAAAUAAGUCAAUAAUAAUAAUAUUAUAAUAUUAAAUUACUUUUUUGAUUCAAAAGUUCAAUGAACCACUCGAUCGAUUCAAACAAUCGAGUUUAUGCACAAGACUGUACUUGCAAUAUGAAUGCGCAUACGCGAUGUAUGCACGUUAAUUUCACAUACACGUGUUCAUCAUGUACAGACGACAUUCAGUUUCAAAAGUAUAUAACAGGAAGUUCGCAAGAAAAAUUAUAUUCACGAAUCGUGAUCAGGAUAUAUUAUAUUUCUCUUUUAUCAAAAGAAUCUGAAUAUCACAAUUUCAACAAGAUAUGAUUAGUGAAUGUUGAAUAUAUAAGACUUCUUGUGAAAUAAUCUUCAAAUUCUGCUAUCAGUAUAACUUGUCUGUAAUUAUUGCAACAUUCUUCGAAGUUCACAUGGUUCAUCUUUUGAGAUUAUCUUUUUUCAUUUGAUAUCAUCUGUGAAAAACUUGAUACGAGCAAAAUAUUUUGUUGAUGACCCCUGGAACAACUGGCUGUCUCAUAACGAUACUGGUCAAGCAAUCGUAAUCUUCUUCUAACAUUUAAGUUAAAAUGCGAAUAGUAUUUUCUUCUCCAUCAAGGUUAUCUGUUAUCGCUGCGCCAGUUAUUAAUUUAAGCAACUCAAGAGAACGAUGUAAAAAGUGAUCAUUAUUCGAAUCACUAUAAUGCAGUGCAUCGAUCCGAAGAGAGAAAACGUUGGACUGCUGCUUCUUGAAGACGAGAUGAUAUAAUUCAUACGACUCGAUUAUUCGGCUUAUCAAACAUUAUAAAAUAUCGUGGACUUUCAACUUUUAGUUUAAUAGUGAGACUGUGGCGUUAUCAUUUUACCGAAUGUCGAGGGAAGGAGGGAAAAUAAAUAAGCGAGUAAUAAUAAACGGUGCGAUCUCAUUAACUCGUGCUCAGAACGUCUCUCGUGCUCGUGGAGAACCACGCGACUAUUUGUCUCGUCGCGUAUACCUUAUCAUCCGUCUUAUAAAUUCAUUCACAUUCGUCUCGUAGCGUGGCUUCUCUCAUUCAAAAAUCUUCUAUCUGAGGAUAACGUAAGCGAUAAUCA